GACGAACGCUGGCGGCGUGCUUAACACAUGCAAGUCGAACGGAGUGGAGACCGGGUGAGUAACGCGUAAUCAACCUGCCCUUCUGAGGGGGACAACAGUUGGAAACGACUGCUAAUACCGCAUACUGCAGGUGGGUUUUGCGUCUGAUUAGCUAGGUGGAGGGGUCACGGCCCAACAUGGCGAUGAUCAGUAGCCUGUCGGAGAGGAUGAGCAGCCGCAUUGGGACUGAGUAACGGCCCAGACUCCUACGGGAGGCAGCAGUGGGGAAUCUUCCGCAAUGGAUGAACGUCUGACGGAGCAACGCCGCGGGAGGUAGGACGGCCUUCGGGUUGUAAAGCACUGUUAAUCGGGACGCGGUACCGGAAUAGAAAGCCACGGCUAACUACGUGCCAGCAGCCGCGGUAAUAC
rnacentral:rRNA from 1 species